rnacentral:rRNA from 1 species
CAGCUCUGCUCCUUUGGGGAUAUAAUCCAGAACAGGGAAGCAACCGGUCGGAUUGCUAAGUGGGCUGUUGAGCUUGGGCCUCACGGGUUAAAAUAUAUGCCCCGGACAGCGAUAAAAUCUCAGGCACUUGUGGAUUUCAUCAAUGAUUGGACAGAAUUACAGGCGCCAGAAGAGAAGCCGGACCAUACUUAUUGGACUAUUCAUUUUGAUGGGUCCAGGCAGUUGGAGGGCUCGGGGGCUGGAGUCGUAUUAACUUCCCCACGAGGUGAUAAGUUUUGUUAUGUUCUCCGUUUAAUGUUCCCUUGCACUAACAAUACAGCUGAAUAUGAGGCUUUACUCCAUGAUCUUCGAAUGGCUAAAGAGAUGAAUCUAAGCCGAGUUAAGUGCUUCGGUGACUCAGACCCGGUGGCUCAACAAGUGUCCGGUACUUGUGAUUCUAAGGAUCCACUCAUGGCGGCAUAUCGUCGAGAGGUGGAUAUUGUUGCGGGUCACGUCAAAGGUUACCAGGUCGAUCAUGUGGACCGGCGGAAAAAUGAAGCGGCAGACGCUUUAAGCCGCUUGGGUUCCCAACGUAAACCGGUUCCACCCAAUGUUUUCCUGGAUGUGUUGCAUAAUCCGUCCGUCAAGCUCCCUGGUGAAGAGGAUUUGGAUGUUCCUGAUCUAGAAGCUCAGUUGGUGGCGGCUCUUCAUGUUAUCCCGGAUUGGACGGUUCCAUAUUUGGUGUAUAUGAACCGGGGCGAGUUACCAGAAGAUGAAACUUCGGCCAGGCAGAUAAUCCGGCGGUCCAAGUCCAUGACUAUUAUC